GGGCGCAGCAGGCGCGAAACCUCCGCAAUGCGGGAAACCGCGACGGGGGGACCCCCAGUGCCGUGCCUCUGGCACGGCUUUUCCGGAGUGUAAAAAGCUCCGGGAAUAAGGGCUGGGCAAGGCCGGUGGCNUCCNCCGCGGUAAUACCGGCGGCCCGAGUGGUGGCCACUAUUAUUGGGCCUAAAGCGGCCGUAGCCGGGCCCGUAAGUCCCUGGCGAAAUCCCACGGCUCAACCGUGGGGCUCGCUGGGGAUACUGCGGGCCUUGGGACCGGGAGAGGCCGGGGGUACCCCCGGGGUAGGGGUGAAAUCCUAUAAUCCCGGGGGGACCGCCAGUGGCGAAGGCGCCCGGCUGGAACGGGUCCGACGGUGAGGGCCGAAGGCCAGGGGA
rnacentral:rRNA from 1 species